AGCGAUGAAACUUUAACAGAACCCUUCGGGGCGAAGUAAAAGUGGAUUAGCGGCGGACGGGUGAGUAACACGUGAGUAACCUGCCUUAGACAUUGGGAUAGCCUCGGGAAACCGGGAUUAAUACCAAAUAAAAUCAUAAUGACACAUGUCAUAACGAUCAAAACUCCGGUGGUCUAAGAUGGACUCGCGUCCCAUUAGCUAGUUGGUAGAGUAAAAGCCUACCAAGGCGACGAUGGGGAGCCGACCUGAGAGGGUGAACGGCCACAUUGGAACUGAGAAACGGUCCAAACUCCUACGGGAGGCAGCAGUGGGGAAUAUUGCACAAUGGAGGGAACUCUGAUGCAGCGACGCCGCGUGAACGAAGAAGGCUUUCGAGUCGUAAAGUUCUUUUAUAUGGGAAGAUAAUGACGGUACCAUAAGAAAAAGCCCCGGCUAACUAC
rnacentral:rRNA from 1 species